rnacentral:ncRNA from 1 species
GUAUUUAUAUAGUAUAUAAUAUGUUGUAGAAAACUCUUUAUGUUAUAAAAUUAAUAUGUUUUUUCAGAAGAUAGAUUUAUAAAUUUAUAAAAUAAAAUAGGUUUUUUAUUUACUAUUCUGGCUAAGCUUGUGCCAGCCGCCGCGGUUAUACAAGUGGAAUUUAAUAUUUUGUUUUAUUUAAAAAUUUAUGGAUUUUUGAUUUUAGGUUAUUUAGGUGAAAUUGAUAAUUUUAAUGAGUUUAAAGGAUUUGUGAAAUUUAUGAUUUAAAAUAGGAUUAGAUACCCUAGUAUUAUAAAAUGUAGGAUUGGUAGUAAUUUGAGAAGAAUAAAAUUUAAAGAUUGUGGCGGUGUUUUAAGCCUUUUAGAGGAAUUUAUUCUUUUAUUGAUAUGACACAAAUAUCUUACUUAGUUUUGUUAGGUCAGUUUGUAUAUCGCUAUCAUUUUAUGAAAUUGUUAGAUUUUUGUAAAGAUAGAAUAUUAUUUUUAAUGUUAGGUCAAGAUGCAGCAUAAAAUUAAGGUUGAAAUAAAUUACAUGAAUUUAUAUUGAUUUGUUAGGAAGAAAAUUUAGGAUUUAAUAGUAAGUUUGAAUUAUAAUGUUAAGCUGAAUUAGGCUCUGAAACAUGUACAUAUCGCCCGUCGCUCUCAUUAUUGAGAUAAGUCGUAACAAAGUAAAAGUACCGGAAGGUGUUUUU